ACGGAAGUUGGUUAAUUAUAAUUUCGUGAUUUGAGUUCAAGAACCGUACUUAAAUCUGAACCCUGAUUAAUUGAUUUAUCUGCAUUCUCUGAUUUCCUGAGAAAUACCCUGAGCCUAUCUCUUUCUCAUUGAUUUUACAACCGUUUGAUUUUAUAGCUGCUGUUAUUUUCAUCGUUUUCACUUAGCGUAGUUCAAGCCUAGAUAGUUUAUUGUGCGAAUCUCUCGUCUCUGUGGUUCGACCCCUAUUGUACUAUAAUUGCAUAUCUGUGCUCUUGCAGAGUAGCUCUAGGGAUUAAACUUUGAGCAGAU
rnacentral:lncRNA from 1 species